CUUUCAUCUUUUUAUAUUUCUCCGUGUAUUCGCUGUUUUUUCGCUUUUUGUAAAGUUUUGUUUUUCUUGUUAAUUUGUCGUCUUAAUUUAUCAGAUAUCCACGGUAAUCGAUGUUUGUUUCGUAGGAUCUUUGAUAGAAUAUGUUUUUCGACAGAGCUGAUGAGUUUGGUUUUAAAUAGUUCCCAUAGCUCAUUGGUGUUAAGAGAAUCAUAGUUGUCAAUGAUUGUUUUGUCGAUGGUACCUAUGUCAAGUUUAAUUUCGUCCCAGUUGGCUUUGUUAUACUUGUAUACUUUUUGUGGGGUUUCUCUUAUUCUCUUAAGCCAGAUGUCUGCUUCGGCAUUAACAAUACCAUGGUCGCUUGAACCUAUUGGUGGUAGUGUGGUUACUUUGUUGAUGUAUGUUGGGUUCUUAAUUAUUAUCAGAUCUAGUAUACGGUCAUUUCUUGUUGGUGUAUUGACAACUUGAUGUAGAUUUGUGGCAUUCAUUAUAUCUAAGAGAUUUUGGUGAACGGUUGUAUAUCAGGUUUGCCUGGUAUUGUGCUUGAUGUUGACCAAUCAAUUUGUCCCAAGUUAAAAUCACCCCCACAAUGAUGGUUGCAUUUGAUUGGGCUAUGGUAUAAAGCAUCGCCAUCUUGUUUAUUAAUGAGUUACUUUUCCUCAAAGGUCACUAGUAGACUGUAAAGGUUAAUAACAUUUCGGAACUAAAGUGCAUGCAUGAUGGCCUGGGAGCCGGUGCAUGCUCACUAUUUUUUCUGUGUAAUCAAUCUCUUUCCUCUUGUGUUCAUUGUGUGGCUUAUCCCUGUAGUUGAAUUGUUUUCAGAUUUUGAUGUGUAGUCUACAAUAUUUUGUUUUGGAUCCUUGCCUCUGUCACUUAUUAAGGUAAGCCGGAAAUUUUGCUUUGAAACAGUCCACCCCAAAGACCACAUCAGUGACGGUAGACGUGAAUGCAAACUCAUCUUUAGCUAUGGUUUAACUGAACGGAUGAAUGAACUAACAUUUUGUAUUUAUAUAUCCUGGUCAAACCUUAGAAUUAUAUUCCCAUUUUGGAGUUUUUUCUUUGUUAAUUCCAUACAAAUGUCCUUUAUCCAUGUUUAAAACAUAUUUGCCGCGUCUCUUACGACAUCCAAUGAAUAAAAGAAGAGACUGACUAAUUAUGAUAAAUAUCGUACUUAUUUAUGUUAUAUGAGAUUUUUCAUCGACAAGAAUUUCGGAUGUGAACGUGUCAACCUGGAUUUCCAUACAUAUAGCUGUUGCGGUUCCCGAGAUUAGGAUUGCCAAUCAGAUCUGUGACUGUGUAAAGGCUGUUUUAUGUAUUUUCCGAUAUUUUGAAUUAAAAAAUCCUAGCGAAGUAAGCUACCAUACGACUAUCGCAAUCUAUGGUGUAUUUCCCUAGAAUUAUUGGUCUGAUAUUAAGCUGCUUCCAUCUUUUGAAGAGUUUUUUUAAGGUUAUGUUAACGCAAAAUUUGACUGCUUACUACUAAUCAUAGUAUAAUGCUAACCCAGUUGAUACACAGACAGGGGUCGAAUUUGAAUUUAAGCUUUUUUGUGUACUGGUCAGGCUCCAAAUCUACUGGUCCUGCAGAAAUUACAUUCAUUUGACAAACACUAAUAUAAAUGAUAGAUGUUUACCUUUAUUUUCAUGCUCAAAGUUUCAUUUAUGGUAGACAAGAAAAAGAGAGAGUCUUGAUCCUGAUUUUGAUAAAGGCUUUGAUAAUCUCAAUCAUUUUCUUAAUGAAAUCAGGAUCAAGAACAGAAAAAAUGUCAACAUUGUAUUCCACAUCAUCACAAUACUCACGACGACCACCCCAUGGGGUGCCUAACUAAGUUGUCUGGAGCGCUGUCCACAAAUGUUUCAUAUAUCAAUAGCCUGGAUAUUUACAUCAACUUUCCUUUGGUUAAUUUCAUAAACUUUAUUCCGAUCUUACUUUUGAAUGUCACUUAUUUUAAUUUUUUUUUCUGGAUAUUUUACACUUUCCAAAAAUUUCCACAUUUUGUGUUUUUGUGAAGGACGCUCACCCGAGAUAUUAAGUUAAUCAAUUGUAAUACUUAGUACCCCCCCCCCCCCAACCAGUACCGGGUAAUUGAUUUCGCAGGUAUUUUUUUUUGUAAACAAACCGAUAUCGACAAAUUUCUACUGGUCCGCCGGACCACCAACUGUCAAAAUCUACUGGUCCGACGCAAAUUCUACUGGUCUCGGACCACCGCACCAGCGCUAAUUUUGAUCCCUGUACACAGAUAAUAAAAGUAUAGGUUCGUGCGAGAAAUAGUUAGGGCCCCGCCAAAGGCGGGUCGCCCUAUAGUGAUCAGUCUGUCCGUCGUCCGUCCGUCCGUAACACUUUGUAAUAACUUUGUGUCCGCUCCAUAUCUAGAGAACCAUUAUGAUUUCAUACUUUAUACUUUACAUGUUUAUUAACCAC
rnacentral:lncRNA from 1 species